rnacentral:rRNA from 1 species
AAGCGGAGGAAAAGAAACCAACAGGGAUUGCCUCAGUAACGGCGAGUGAAGCGGCAAUAGCUCAAAUUUGAAAUCUGGCAAAAGCCCGAAUUGUAAUUUGUAGAGGAAUGUUUGGCGACGUCUAGGUCUGAUUUUUCUGGAAGGAAAAGCCUUUGAGGGUGAGAGCCCCGUAUGACUGAUGACUAAACCAUGUAUACGUCCUUCGAAGAGUCGAGUUGUUUGGGAAUGCAGCUCAAAACGGGUGGUAAAUUCCAUCUAAAGCUAAAUAUUGGCCAGAGACCGAUAGCGCACAAGUAGAGUGAUCGAAAGAUGAAAAGCACUUUGGAAAGAGAGUGAAACAGUACGUGAAAUUGUUGAAAGGGAAGCGCUAGCAAUCAGACUUGAAUCAUACAUUCAAUAGUUCUUUGAACUGUCUAUUUUGUUUAAUUCAGGCUAGCAUCAGUUUUUGCGGUUGGAUAAAGGCAUUGGGAAUGUGGCUCUUCGGAGUGUUAUAGCCCUUUGUAUAAUACAGCCAGCGGAGACUGAGGAUCGCCUUUGAAGGAUGCUGGCGUAAUGAUUGCUAGCGGCCCGUCUUGAAACACGGACCAAGGAGUCUAACAUCUGUGCGAGUGUUUGGGUGUAAAACCCGACCGCGUAAUGAAAGUGAACGGAGGUGGGAGCUUCGGCGCACCAUCGACCGAUCUGGACGUUCUCUGAAGGAUUUGAGUAAGAGCAUAGCUGUUGGGACCCGAAAGUUGAUGAACUAUGCGUGAAUAGGGUGAAGCCAGAGGAAACUCUGGUGGAGGCUCGCAGCGGUUCUGACGUGCAAAUCGAUCGUCAAAUUUGCGUAUAGGGGCGAAAGACUUAUCGAAUCAACUAGUAG